UCUUGGCUAAUGUGUCUUGGCUAAGGUGUCUUGGCUAAUGUGUCUUGGCUAAUGUGUCUUGGCUAAGGUGUCUUGGCUAAUGUGUCUUGGCUAAUGUGUCUUGGCUAAGGUGUCUUGGCUAAUGUGUCUUGGCUAAGGUGUCGUGGCUAAUGUGUCUUGGCUAAUGUGUCUAGGCUAAGGUGUCUUGGCUAAGGUGUCUUGGCUAAGGUGUCUUGGCUAAGGUGUCUUGGCUAAUGUGUCUCGGCUAAUGUGUCUUGGCUAAUGUGUCUUGGCUAAGGUGUCUUAGCUAAGGUGUCUUGGCUAAGGUGUCUUGGCUAAUGUGUCUUGGCUAAGGUGUCUUGGCUAAGGUGUCUUGGCUAAGGUGUCUUGGCUAAUGUGUCUUGGCUAAUGUGUCUUGGCUAAGGUGUCUUGGCUAAGGUGUCUUGGCUAAGGUGUCUUGGCUAAUGUGUCUUGGCUAAUGUGUCGGAGAAUGUGUCUUGGCUAAUGUGUCUUGGUUAAUGUGUCUUGGCUAAUGUGUCUUGGCUAAUGUGUCUUGGCUAAUGUGUCUUGGCUAAUGUGUCAUGGCUAAUGUGUCUUGGCUAAGGUGUCUUGGCUAAUGUGUCUUGGCUAAGGUGUCUUGGCUAAUGUGUCUUGGCUAAGGUGUCUUGGCUAAUGUGUCUUGGCUAAUGUGUCUUGGCUAAGGUGUCUUGGCUAAGGUGUCUUGGCUAAGGUGUCUUGGCUAAUGUGUCUUGGCUAAGGUGUCUUGGCUAAGGUGUCUUGGCUAAGGUGUCUUCGAUAAUGUGUCUUGGCUAAUGUGUCUUGGCUAAGGUGUCUUGGCUAAGGUGUCUUGGCUAAGGUGUCUUGGCUAAUGUGUCUUGGCUAAUGUGUCGGAGAAUGUGUCUUGGCUAAUGUGUCUUGGCUAAUGUGUCUUGGCUAAUGUGUCUUGGCUAAUGUGUCUUGGCUAAUGUGUCUUGGCUAAGGUGUCUUGGCUAAUGUGUCUUGGCUAAGGUGUCUUGGCUAAUGUGUCUUGGCUAAUGUGUCUUGGCUAAUGUGUCUUGGCUAAUGUGUCUUGGCUAAGGUGUCUUGGCUAAUGUGUCUUGGCUAAUGUGUCUUGGCUAAUGUGUCUUGACUAAGGUGUCUUGGCUAAUGUGUCUUGGCUAAGGUGUCUUAGCUAAGGUGUCUUGGCUAAUGUGUCUCGGCUAAUGUGUCUUGGCUAAUAUGUCUUGGCUAAGGUGUCUUGGCUAAGGUGUCUUGGCUAAGGUGUCUUGGCUAAUGUGUCUUGGCUAAGGUGUCUUGGCUAAUGUGUCUUGGCUAAGGUGUCUUGGCUAAGGUGUCUUGGCUAAGGUGUCUUGGCUAAUGUGUCUUGGCUAAUGUGUCUUGGCUAAGGUGUCUUGGCUAAUGUGUCUUGGCUAAGGUGUCUUGGCUAAGGUGUCUUGGCUAAGGUGUCUUGGCUAAUGUGUCUUGGCUAAUGUGUCUUGGCUAAUGUGUCUUGGCUACGGUGUCUUGGCUAAUGUGUCUUGGCUAAUGUGUCUUGGCUAAGGUGUCUUGGCUAAUGUGUCUUGGCUAAUGUGUCUUGGCUAAUGUGUCUUGGCUAAGGUGUCUUGGCUAAUGUGUCUUGGCUAAUGAGUCUUGGCUAAUGUGUCUUGGCUAAUGUGUCUUGGCUAAGGUGUCUUGGCUUAUGUGUCUUGGCUAAUGUGUCUUGGCUAAGGUGUCUUGUCUAAUGUGUCUUGGCUAAGGUGUCUUGGCUAAUGUGUCUUGGCUAAUGUGUCUUGACUAAGGUGUCUUGGCUAAUGUGUCUUGGCUAAUGUGUCUUGGCUAAGGUGUCUUGGCUAAUGUGUCUUGGCUAAUGAGUCUUGGCUAAUGUGUCUUGGCUAAUGUGUCUUGGCUAAGGUGUCUUGGCUUAUGUGUCUUGGCUAAUGUGUCUUGGCUAAGGUGUCUUGUCUAAUGUGUCUUGGCUAAGGUGUCUUGGCUAAUGUGUCUUGGCUAAUG